rnacentral:rRNA from 1 species
CUCCUGGAAACGGGUGGUAAUGCCGGAUGCUCCGCCCCCUCGCAUGGGGGGUCGGGAAGGCUUUUGCGGAAUGGGAUGGGGUCGCGUCCUAUCAGCUUGUUGGCGGGGCGACGGCCCACCAAGGCUUCGACGGGUAGCCGGCCUGGGAGGGCGACCGGCCACAUUGGGACUGAGAUACGGCCCAGACUCCUACGGGAGGCAGCAGUGGGGAAUAUUGCACAAUGGGGGGAACCCUGAUGCAGCGACGCCGCGUGCGGGAUGGAGGCCUUCGGGUCGUGAACCGCUUUUGAUUGGGAGCAAGCGUGAGUGAGUGUACCUUUCGAAUAAGCACCGGCUAACUACGUGCCAGCAGCCGCGGUAAUACGUAGGGUGCAAGCGUUGUCCGGAAUCAUUGGGCGUAAAGGGCUCGUAGGCGGUUCGUCGCGUCCGGUGUGAAAGCCCAUCGCUUAACGGUGGGUCUGCGCCGGGUACGGGCGGGCUUGAGUGCGGCAGGGGAGGCUGGAAUUCCCGGUGUAACGGUGGAAUGUGUAGAUAUCGGGAAGAACACC